GCCGAGGUCCUCUUCUAGGAUUGGUUGUCCACUCAUAACCAUAAGAUAAUUAAAACGGGGGGGGGCAGGGUAAAAAAAAAACCCUUUUAUCAGCCAUAGGUUAAUGCAAGUGUUUAACAGAUGCUUCGCUAUUAAAAUAUUUCCCCCCAAUACUGAAGAAUCUUAAACCAGCAACCCUAACAGAGAUUGCGAAGAUUUUCAAAGUGGGGCACCUCGAUUUCUCGAAUCUGUGGUGUGGCGAAUAUCCGUGUUCCUCCUGCUUAACUAGCCUGUUUGCAUCUUUUGACACAUUUUACUUCCGUAAUUUCGGACUGCCAGAAGGCACAGUUCAUUCUCGAGCAAUUCGUCACCUCCUGGGGGUCUUCUCUUCCCGUCUACAGGAGAGUGUGACUUCAGAAAGAACUUCGGAUUGGCCAAGGCCAUUAAAGCUGGUGAGCGACUUGGAAGUCAUUUAGAAAGGAACAGACCUUCAACCUCAAGCCUUUGCGGGCACUGGGAAAGUGUCUUCCCAAUCAAUCUGGCUUGCAGGCGGCAGGACCAACUCUGACCUGGCUUAUCUUGUACCCAUCCUAAAUACACCAAACUCAAGAGGUAGCCAGGGCCGCCUCAACACCGAGGCAGGUCUGAUUCUAUUUAUUCUAAAGACAGAGUUGGAGAUGGGCUACCAUUGGUGUUGAUUGAGAUGACAAGCAGUCACCUGAGCCCAUACAGCUGGUAAGUAGAACAGUACUGGAGAGAUGGCUCAGCAGUUAAGAGCACUGACUGCUCUUCCAGAGAUCCUGAGUUCAAUUCCCAGCAACCACAUGGUGGCUCACAAACAUCUGUAAUGAGAUCAGGUGCCCUCUUCUGGUGCCUUUGAAGACAAAGACAGUGUAGUGUCAUAUAUAUAAAAUAAAUAAAUCUUUAGAAAUUUGAAAAUAA
rnacentral:lncRNA from 1 species